rnacentral:rRNA from 1 species
AUUGAACGCUGGCGGCAGGCCUAACACAUGCAAGUCGGGCGGAGCGGCGGACGGGUGAGUAAUGUAUGGGGAUCUGCCUGAUGGCGGGGGAUAACUACUGGAAACGGUAGCAAAUACCGCAUCUAUCAGAUGAGCCUAGUUCGGAUUAGCUAGUGGGUGGGGUAACGGCCUCCCAAGUCGACGAGCAGUAACUGGUGUGAGAGGAUGAUCAGUCACACUGGAACUGAGACACGGUCCAGACUCCUACGUGAGGCAGCAUUGGGGAAUAUUGGUCAAUGGGCGAAAGCCUGAGCCAGCCAUGCCGCGUGUGUGAAGAAGGUCUUCGGAUUGUAAAGCACUUUAAGUUGGGAGGCGUUACCAACAGAAUAAGCACCGGCUAACUUCGUGCCAGCAGCCGCGGUAAUAC